GAUGAACGCUGGCGGCGUGCCUAAUACAUGCAAGUAGAACGCUGAAGGAAGGAGCUUGCUCUUUCCGGAUGAGUUGCGAACGGGUGAGUAACGCGUAGGUAACCUGCCUGGUAGCGGGGGAUAACUAUUGGAAACGAUAGCUAAUACCGCAUAACAGUAGAUGUUGCAUGAUAUCUACUUAAAAGGUGCAAUUGCACCACUACCAGAUGGACCUGCGUUGUAUUAGCUAGUUGGUGAGGUAACGGCUCACCAAGGCGACGAUACAUAGCCGACCUGAGAGGGUGAUCGGCCACACUGGGACUGGGACACGGCCCAGACUCCUACGGGAGGCAGCAGGAGGGAAUCUUCGGCAAUGGACGGAAGUCUGACCGUGCAACGCCGCGUGAGUGAAGAAGGUUUUCGGAUCGUAAAGCUCUGUUGUAAGAGAAGAACGAGUGUGAGAGUGGAAAGUUCACACUGUGACGGUAUCUUACCAGAAAGGGACGGCUAACUACGUG
rnacentral:rRNA from 1 species